rnacentral:misc_RNA from 1 species
UGGUCUUACGCACUGAUACACCCC